CGGUAAAACGCGCUGGAGGACCGAACCCACGUAAGUUGAAAAUUGCGGGGAUGAGUUGUGGGUAGCGGUGAAAUUCCAAACGAACUUGGAGAUAGCUGGUUCUCUCCGAAAUAGCUUUAGGGCUAGCCUCGCAAAGAGGAUGCUGGAGGUAGAGCUCUGUUUGGACUAGGGGCCCGUCAAGGGUUACUGAAUUCAGAUAAACUGCGAAUUCCAGACAUUUAUGUGCGGGAGUCAGACUGCGAGUGAUAAGAUCCGUAGUCGAAAGGGAAACAGCCCAGAUCACCAGUUAAGGUCCCAAAAUUCAUGCUAAGUGGAAAAGGAUGUGGAGUUGCGCAGACAACUAGGACGUUGGCUCAGAAGCAGCCAUCAUUCAAAGAGUGCGUAAUAGCUCACUAGUCGAGUGACGCCGCGCCGAAAAUUUACCGGGGCUAAGCAUGAUACCGAAACUGUGGAUGUGCAUUUAUGCACGUGGUAGGAGAGCGUUCUAGCGGCGGUGAAGCAUGACUGAGAAGACAUGUGGAGCUUCUAGAAGUGAGAAUGCCGGUAUGAGUAACGAAAGACAGGUGAGAAUCCUGUCCGCCGCAAGAC
rnacentral:rRNA from 1 species